CGUGUAGGCGGUUUAAUAAGUCAGAUGUAAAAGCCCCCGGCUUAACCGGGGAUUGUCAUUUGAAACUGUUAGGCUUGAGUGCGAGAGAGGGUAGCGGAAUUCCCAGUGUAGCGGUGAAAUGCGUAGAUAUUGGGAAGAACACCAGUAGCGAAGGCGGCUACCUGGCUCGCAACUGACGCUAAGGCGCGAAAGCGUGGGGAGCAAACA
rnacentral:rRNA from 1 species